UUGUGAUUUCUUCAGCAUGUCCAGCUCUCCUUUCCCUAAUAGUCCAUUCUUUUUGGGAGUAAGUCCCCCAAAAAAUGGACUAUUAGGGAAAGGAGAGCUGGACAUGCUGAAGAAAUCACAA